CGCUGGCGGCAGGCCUAACACAUGCAAGUCGAACGGUAACAGGAAGCAGCUUGCUGCUUUGCUGACGAGUGGCGGACGGGUGAGUAAUGUCUGGGAAACUGCCUGAUGGAGGGGGAUAACUACUGGAAACGGUGGCUAAUACCGCAUAACGUCGCAAGACCAAAGAGGGGGACCUUCGGGCCUCUUGCCAUCAGAUGUGCCCAGAUGGGAUUAGCUUGUUGGUGAGGUAACGGCUCACCAAGGCGACGAUCCCUAGCUGGUCUGAGAGGAUGACCAGCCACACUGGAACUGAGACACGGUCCAGACUCCUACGGGAGGCAGCAGUGGGGAAUAUUGCACAAUGGGCGCAAGCCUGAUGCAGCCAUGCCGCGUGUAUGAAGAAGGCCUUCGGGUUGUAAAGUACUUUCAGCGGGGAGGAAGGUGUUGUGGUUAAUAACCGCAGCAAUUGACGUUACCCGCAGAAGAAGCACCGGCUAACUCCGUGCCAGCAGCCGCGGUAAUACGGAGGGUGCAAGCGUUAAUCGGAAUUACUGGGCGUAAAGCGCACGCAGGCGGUCUGUCAAGUCGGAUGUGAAAUCCCCGGGCUCAACCUGGGAACUGCAUUCGAAACUGGCAGGCUUGAGUCUUGUAGAGGGGGGUAGAAUUCCAGGUGUAGCGGUGAAAUGCGUAGAGAUCUGGAGGAAUACCGGUGGCGAAGGCGGCCCCCUGGACAAAGACUGACGCUCAGGUGCGAAAGCGUGGGGAGCAAACAGGAUUAGAUACCCUGGUAGUCCACGCCGUAAACGAUGUCUACUUGGAGGUUGUGCCCUUGAGGCGUGGCUUCCGGAGCUAACGCGUUAAGUAGACCGCCUGGGGAGUACGGCCGCAAGGUUAAAACUCAAAUGAAUUGACGGGGGCCCGCACAAGCGGUGGAGCAUGUGGUUUAAUUCGAUGCAACGCGAAGAACCUUACCUGGUCUUGACAUCCACAGAAGAAUCCAGAGAUGGAUUUGUGCCUUCGGGAACUGUGAGACAGGUGCUGCAUGGCUGUCGUCAGCUCGUGUUGUGAAAUGUUGGGUUAAGUCCCGCAACGAGCGCAACCCUUAUCCUUUGUUGCCAGCGGUUAGGCCGGGAACUCAAAGGAGACUGCCAGUGAUAAACUGGAGGAAGGUGGGGAUGACGUCAAGUCAUCAUGGCCCUUACGACCAGGGCUACACACGUGCUACAAUGGCGCAUACAAAGAGAAGCGACCUCGCGAGAGCAAGCGGACCUCAUAAAGUGCGUCGUAGUCCGGAUUGGAGUCUGCAACUCGACUCCAUGAAGUCGGAAUCGCUAGUAAUCGUGGAUCAGAAUGCCACGGUGAAUACGUUCCCGGGCCUUGUACACACCGCCCGUCACACCAUGGGAGUGGGUUGCAAAAGAAGUAGGUAGCUUAACCUUCGGGAGGGCGCUUACCACUUUGUGAUUCAUGACUGGGGUGAAGUCGUAACAAGGUAACCGUAGGGGAACCUGC
rnacentral:rRNA from 1 species